UUAAUUCAAAUUUGUACGGAGUUCGAACGUUUAAGUACUUACGUUUGCCGCUAGGGGCGCUGUUCCGACUGCAUACAAAUUUGAGUUA
rnacentral:pre_miRNA from 1 species